UACGUAGGGUGCGAGCGUUGUCCGGAUUUAUUGGGCGUAAAGAGCUCGUAGGCGGCUCGGUAAGUCGGGUGUGAAACCUCCAGGCUCAACCUGGAGACGCCACCCGAUACUGCUGUGGCUAGAGUCCGGUAGGGGAGCGUGGAAUUCCUGGUGUAGCGGUGAAAUGCGCAGAUAUCAGGAAGAACACCCGUGGCUAAGGCGGCUCUCUAGUACGGUACUGACGCUGAGACGCGAAAGCGUGGGGAGCGAACAGG
rnacentral:rRNA from 1 species